UACGUAGGGGGCAAGCGUUGUCCGGAAUCAUUGGGCGUAAAGCGCGUGUAGGCGGUUCGGUAAGUCUGCUGUGAAAGUCCAGGGCUCAACCCUGGGAUGCGGGUGGAUACUGCCGGGCUCGAGUCCGGAAGAGGCGAGUGGAAUUCCCGGUGUAGCGGUGAAAUGCGCAGAUAUCGGGAGGAACACCAAUGGCGAAGGCAGCUCGCUGGGACGUGACUGACGCUGAGACGCGAAAGCGUGGGGAGCAAACAGG
rnacentral:rRNA from 1 species